AACGCGAAGAACCUUACCUGGGUUGAACUACGCAGGAAAAGCCGUAGAGAUACGGUGUCCGCAAGGGCCUGCGAUAGGUGGUGCAUGGCUGUCGUCAGCUCGUGUCGUGAGAUGUUGGGUUAAGUCCCGCAACGAGCGCAACCCUUGUCCUAUGUUGCCAGCGGGUAAUGCCGGGGACUCGUAGGAGACUGCCGGGGUCAACUCGGAGGAAGGUGGGGAUGACGUCAAGUCAUCAUGCCCCUUACGUCCAGGGCUGCACACAUGCUACAAUGGCCGAUACAAAGGGCUGCUAUUCCGCGAGGAUGAGCGAAUCCCAAAAAGUCGGUCUCAGUUCGGAUCGCAGUCUGCAACUCGACUGCGUGAAGUCGGAGUCGCUAGUAAUCCCGGAUCAGCAACGCCGGGGUGAAUACGUUCCCGGGCCUUGUA
rnacentral:rRNA from 1 species